UACGGAGGGGGCGAGCGUUAUUCGGAAUUAUUGGGCGUAAAGGGCGCGUAGGCGGCUGAACAAGUCAAAGGUGAAAUCCCUCGGCUCAACUGAGGAACUGCCUUUGAAACUGUUCGGCUUGAGGCCGGGAGGGGGUAGCGGAAUUCCCAGUGUAGCGGUGAAAUGCGUAGAUAUUGGGAGGAACACCAGUGGCGAAGGCGGCUCGCUGGACCGGAACUGACGCUGAGGCGCGAAAGCGUGGGGAGCAAACAGG
rnacentral:rRNA from 1 species